rnacentral:rRNA from 1 species
CGGAGGAUCCGAGCGUUAUCCGGAAUUAUUGGGUUUAAAGGGUGCGUAGGCGGCCAUUUAAGUCAGCGGUGAAAUUUUGCAGCUUAACUGUAACAGUGCCGUUGAUACUGUUUGGCUAGGAUUUGGUUGUAGUGUGCGGAAUGUGUGGUGUAGCGGUGAAAUGCUUAGAUAUCACACAGAACACCGAUUGCGAAGGCAGCACACUAAGUCAUUAUUGACGCUGAGGCACGAAAGUGUGGGGAUCAAACAGGAUUAGA